rnacentral:lncRNA from 1 species
GCAGAUCAUCCCCAGUGUCCUCUGCCAAUUGUGUGCCAUCAGCCUCUCCACUGCUGGGGAAACUGCAGGGGGGAGAGCAUGUAGAAAAGGAACCGCCCCCUACCUGUACAGAACCCGCCCACUGCCCUGGCGCCCUGACCCUCAGCCACACACUCGGCUUCCUCGCUGCUAGCCCCCCUUUUCCUUGGUUCAGUUCGUUCAACAAGCAUUCCUUGCCACUCAGUUAAUCGGCCAUAGGUUCCUAUGGUUGCAGGAGACGUUGUAGUGCUGCACUAUCAUAGACCCCUGUGGUCCUCCUUGGUGCCUUAGGGCCUGUCGAAAGGAGAAAAAAGGGAGAAAGGGAGGAGAGAGGUGGGGGGAGGUAAGGAGAGGCCAGGGAGGAGGUGAAUUUGAGGGAAAAAGGGGGCAGGGGAGAGUUUAGAGGAGGAUAGAAGGAAAGAGGGGAGGUUGAUUCACACACAAAGUCACCAGUGAGAAUCUGCAUGUGUCUUUUAAAAGUCAGCCGGGUCUGAGUCCUCACCUGGCUUAUUUUUCCUCACCAGGCAUCCCCCGGCGGGUGGUAGAAGUUAGGGGGCUCCUGGAGCCUGGGGAGUUGAGUGGGUGGAGCUCUGCCUCAGCCCCGCCCCCCUCAGAGCAGUUCUGCCCCUCUGAGGACCCUGUAUCCAGAGACCCCGAAAGCAUCCACGUUAGAUUUGGGGAGGGCAGGGAAAGGGGAUGGUUAUCUGUUUAACACAACAACAACAACAACAAAAGAGUGGUAAACCACCCUAGGGCCUUAGUUCUCCAGCAGAAACAGGAUUCUCCUGUAAAGCAUUGCCAGGGGGUGGACACCACUGUUUCAGCUUGAAGGCAUCUGCCCACAGGCCGGCUCCCUCACUCAUCAGCCCCGAUUGUUAGACAGUCCUUGUAUUUCGCUGCUAUUGGCUCAAUCUUUCUCCCUGCUGAAUGCUCUGGCCCCUCCUGUCUUGUCCUUGCUGCAGGCCUCUUUGUCUCCUCACCCCCCAGGGAGCUGGCUGAGAGGNNNNNNNNNNNNNNNNNNNNNNNNNNNNNNNNNNNNNNNNNNNNNNNNNNNNNNNNNNNNNNNNNNNNNNNNNNNNNNNNNNNNNNNNNNNNNNNNNNNNNNNNNNNNNNNNNNNNNNNNNNNNNNNNNNGCAGGCUACUGAUGUGGGCUUGGGGCACUCCAGUUGAAGCAGCCCCUAGGGCCAAGGCUGAGGAAGUCCACUCCACCAAGGGCACUGUCUGAGUUAAGUGAGGUCUAGUGAGGAAUUCUCAGCAGGGGAAAUAGCUCGAGGGAAGGAGCACUUGACUGAGAAGAAGGGCCCUGUGUUCGGUGGCAAACUCCGGCAGUGGCAGAGGCUGGCACCUGAAAGGAGGAAAAUCCUAAGGGCCAGGGCUCUAGCUCCCACCCCGAGAGGAAAGCGUGAGGGAGGCGGGCUCAGGGUGGCAUCCCGGCCAUUCGGCCGUCUAAAGCCCUGCUGGCUUUACGUUGUAGGAGGAAAUAAAGCCGUGCUUGUUGGCUGUGGGGACCAUCUGCGUGCACUAUACAGAGAGCACUGCUCCCCCAAGUGUGGUAAACAUACGCUGGUGGUGUGCAAGAUGAUUUUAGGUGGUAUGUGGACCAACUUUGUUUUUCCAUUCUUAUAGCUAUUUUAUUUAUUUCACAUGUUGGGGGUGGGGGGAGUGUGUCUAACACGCAGACUGUAUGCUUUCAAAAAUAUUUCUGAGUGGGAUUUGUUUCCGCUGCGCCACGACAGGAACUCCAGCAAAAUCUAUUUUUAAAAAAUGACUUUGAACCAUCUUAUAUUUCUCCAUCCCUUAGACUGUCUCCAGAUUCUCCACCAGAAACUUCAUUCUGUCCUCUGAAACAGCUGAGUUUAGCAGGCAUGUCUCUACCUUCAGCCAGUCACCCUGGUCUUUCCCCUGACCAGUGACACACAUUUGCAAGACAGCAGGUUAGGAAAGGAGCAAAAAUUAACCAGACCUUGGAAGACCCAAUCACCUGCCCUAACCCCCUGAUCUAGCUGUCCCACAGGAGACUGGCAAAGUGUAGGGUUUCAUUAGUGGCCGAUGGCCAUGGAAUAGAGAAGGAAGAUGACUUCAGAGCUCCUACGUGCUUCUUUCCUAUUUAGAGCAUCCAGGAUCAUGCUUGUUCCUUAAUGAUACUAAACUGUGUGCUUACAAUUCAUUGCAGCCUCUGUCUUUUGCUGCCCUCCCCACAUAGCCCCAUUCCUGUAUCUGUCACAUUUUGAUUAUUCCUGUCUUCAUUAUCCGCACUGGGGAGCCUCCAUAGCAGUCACGGAAUCCCAGGUUGCCACUCACCCCCCUUCGAGCUGCUCUCUGAAUACUCAGGCAUGCAGGGUCACCUUGACACCAGCCCAAGUCAAGCGUAAAUAAAAAAGAUUCUUGCAUAAAUAAAUUAUCCACUCACCUAUAGAAUCCAAACACAAUCGGUCGAAUUUCACAUGGCCGGGGUAACACCUGACGUGCGGCACGGAUAGCCCAAAAUAAAAGUUAUAAACCGCCCCCCCCCCGCAAAAAGUCAUGUAUAGCUCGCUUUGAAAUUGCACAGUGGAUCUAAUUUAUUUCUCAGUAGUUUGGCCUUCCUAAUUAUUUGGGCCGAUAUGAAAAUGAGCUUGCAUCCCGGCGUAUACAGAAACUAGAAGGAGAACCUGGGCUUAGAGGGACGCUAAGCUGAGACCAAGUGUUGCUACAGCCGUUUCACAAAGUGGGAAAGCCACCCAGAAGUACUCGGGGGUCGGCUUUCAAGAGUCUCCCCUGCGUGUCUUGGGAGCAUGUCCUAUAGUUGUUCUUGCCAUGGAUUUGUCCAGGAAGGUCUGUCGAACAGCACCUCAUUUGACUGAGGAGACACAGGGCCAGGGAGUUGACAGGAAAUCAUAGUUCCUUUCUCCCUCUUUGCCAUGGCCUGAUGCCUGUUUCACUGUGCCUUGUCUGGUCACCUGACCUACGCACGUCUGAAGGAGGUGGGGCAAUUCAUCUGAGGAGAAUCACGUCUGAGACAGGAAGGGGCACGGCAGCCUCUUCAGGCAAGGAUUUAUGUAUCUGUCACAGGAGGGAAGUGUGAGCUGAGAAAUGACUCCCAGAAGUGCUAGAAUUGGAAGAGGCAGCGCUGCUACCUUUCACAGUCAGUAGCAUAUUCCUGUGGAAUCCGGGCUACCUCAGGAGGCCAGCAUCCUGGCCCUGCCUCCCUGCCUCGAGUCCAUCCUCCCUCCUCCCUUCCUUCCUCCCUCCCUCCCCUCCUCGCUCCUCUCUGGCUCCUCACACACUUGAGAAAACAGAGCGGAGCUGGCCAGGUGCACCUUGCCAGGGGCCAAGCCUUAGGUGAAGGAAGGAGAGCAGGGGCUGGUUGCUGCUUUUUAAAAGCCUGGCAGUUAGAGGCCAAGGGGACAGGCCCCAGACCCUUGAGCCAACCACAGCAUCUUGCAGGUGAUGCCACGACCGGCACAGUGGUAGCCUCCUGGGCCCGACAGCCCACAGAAGCCAGGGCGGGGGCUCACUCAGUCUGGCUCUAUCUAGACUUCAUUCUUUGCCAUCUUUGUGAAUUGAGUUUUGCAUUUUUUGCCUGCAUUUUGGCCAUGGGGCCUCUGCUGCACCCGAGACCCCGUCGAGGCUGCCAGAACUGGUCCCUUGACAGCGUUAUUAGAUUCCCGCCAUGUCUCCGGAGACUAUAUGCUGCGGGGAGGGCUCCAUCUUUUGGGCUCUAGCUGUCCAGAUGGCUUCUAGCCUCUCCAAUGCCAAGGGACCCCAGCUGCAAAGUCCAAGCCAGCUGCCUUUGGGAGCACCCUCUGUGCUCAGGUCUGUGCCCGGCGCCGGCGGCCUCCAGGUGCAGCUCUUCCGUGCCCUCCUUUCCUGUUCUUCAUCUCCUGGGCAGGGGCUUGGCCACGGGAGCAGAUUCCCCACCAUGACAAAGCACUCGUCAUGACUCUUGUCAUGCUCUUCUUCUCCAGAAGCAAAGGGUGGGCCAUGCCAAGCCUCGAAGCCACGGAGGGAAGGUGAAUAACCCCCCGGCUCCAGACCUUGUCCCGCCUCACCAGCACGUGGUCCCUGUGUUAAGGGGCAGGAGAUGAGCCUGAAUUCUGGGGGAAUGCCUCAGUCUGGGGAGGAGAUUUCAUCUCCCUUGUUGUAACCCUGAUCACCAAGCGUCCUUAGCCUGGAUAGAGGAAGCAGGCCCGUCCCUCUGAAAACAGAGAACUGGGUAGAAUUUGGUUAUGACCCUCUUGCCUCCCCAGUUCUCCCUUCCAGCACAGGCUCCCUCACACUACCCCCACCUGCUCAGGGCUCUCAGCUCCAGAGUGACAGAUAGCUCGAGUUCCAGAACUUUUCCUGAUCUCCCCACCUCUUAACCAUCCUCCUGGGCAGGAGGAGUGGUGGCUUGCUUUCUGCUACUGCCGGUGUGAUACAGUGCAUCCAGUCAGAGUGUAAACAGCUGGCAGUAACUGAAUGUGCUUCCCCCGCCCAAGUCGCAAUUCUCUUUAGACCCGGACCUCUGAUAGGAAGAAGCAAAGUGAGAACUGCAGGCUCAGCUGGGGGCUGGUGGAGCAGACUCUUUGGGGAAAGGUUCCACUACCCUUAGCCCCCUCAAAUCAUACCAAGAAGGCAGCCACCCUCUCCGACUACGUACAAGGCUGUCGCUGGGGAUGUGGUUGACUUUCGCAGAGGGGACUGGGAGGGUCCUGCCUGUGCCCUGCCCCCACUCUUAUAGAUGCCCAGACACAGGGGAGGUCUUCAGAUUAGCCUAAAUUCAGCCUCAGCCUCUGUGCCCUCCCCGCCCCCACCCCACCAGCCAGGCAGGCACUUUUGGAAGAUGCUGGAAAGAAACUGGAAACCCCUCCCUCGUGUGUGUGUGUGAGUGUGUGUAUACCUGACUCAGUUGAUUUUUAAAUAUCUGAGAAAGUAAGAGUGCGGCAAUUACUUGUAAUAGCAAAACCAUUCUCAUUGGAAGGGAGGGGCUCUAACCACUUACAAGAGCAAGGGUUACAGUCCUUCCGAGGGGUCUGCUGCAAAGCUAUUUUUGGCUCAUUUGCUCGUCUUUCGUCCUCGCGUUCUGUUCCUCCCCAGGCCCCUCAGGAGCCCCCCUCUCCACCUCCUUCCCGGUGUCUGUGCUCACACAGGCUUAUGCAGGGGAAGUAACCCCUAGCCAAGUGAUUCUCUCAUCCAGCACAUUUUCCGAGAUGGUCCCACUGCUCCUUUCCAGAAGAGCAGGGACAAAGACCGUCUGGGCCGGUGGAACGACCUCUUCCCCUCCGCCCAAACACACCGGAAUUCCACAUGCUCUCGUUUCCUUCGAGCGCAAAUGGCUUUUGCCGCUGAUCCUCUGCUCUGGGUUACCCAUUUCCUGCUCAGCCCUGGCACAGCAAAUGUGUCUCUGUAGCAGCUACCUCAGGGUAAUUUGAGAAGGAGCUCUAGGCCACCACAUGUGGAAAAGGAAUCAGGGGAAGACACAUGUGGAAUACGAAUCUCCUAGAGAAAGAUGCUGGGCUUUUGCAAAGGGCCUGAAUAAUAUAGAUAAACCAGCCGCGGAUGUUUCGCGGAUGCCAGCAUCAUUGAUUUUUUAAUUAUUUUUAUAAUAAUUAUUUUAAUUAUUUUUUUAAUUAUUAUUAUAUCCUUCCAGGUACACGGACUCUAGUGAAAUCCCCAACACGGUUCCAUCUGCCUUAGGGAUUCAGCAACCAGCCAUGUGCUGGUUGUCUUGGUGAAAGUCUUGGACACACAUGCCCCUGUCUGGCCUGGAACCCUCAGCUUGGACCUGCAGUAUCUGCUCGGUUUAUGUCUAGUCAGUCAGCUGUGCCCUGUCUCUGAGCCUGUUUGGGUGGAGAGGGUGGGAAAAUGGAGCAGGCGCUUCAGGAGGGAGCUUACAGUUGCUCCUCGCUCCAGCCCUGCAACUCCCCAGCUCUCUCUCCUUGUUCUAUGUCUCAGGCUUCUGACGCCAGUCCUGGCCGGGCCUGCAUCCCCUGCUCGGAAUGCCAGGUCCCCAGUUGUGCUCGCCCACAUUUCCACCUCUUGUCCCCUUGCCCAGCCCCCGGGCUGGUGCCAUAUCUGUCUGCCUGGCCACUGAGCCCACCUCAAGAUGUCUGGCCGGUUCCUUCUGGCCUUUUCCUGCUCCCAUGCCAGGGAUGCUCACGGGCUGGAAGGAGCUACUUCAGCCGACUCACCCUGGGGCACACCUUCUUCCCCCCUCAAAGCUAAAUGAGAGGAGUUCCCAUCGUGGCACAGUGGUUAACGAAUCCGACUAGGAACCAUGAGGUUGCGGGUUCGAUCCCUGUCCUUGCUCAAUGGGUUAAGGAUCUGGUGUUGCCGUUAGCUGUGGUGUAGGUCGCAGAUGCGGCUUGGAUCCCUGCGUUGCUGUGGCCGUGGUGUAGGCCGGUGGCUACAGCUCCAAUUAGACCCCUAGCCUGGGAACCUCCAUAUGCCACGGGUGCAGCCCUAGAAAAGGCAAAAAAAAAAAAAAAAAAAAAAAAAAAAAAA